GAUAAACGCUGGCGGCGCACAUAAGACAUGCAAGUUGAACGGACUUAAUCGAAAUAUUUAUAUUUUGAAGCGGUUAGUGGCGGACUGGUGAGUAACGCGUAAGGAACCUGCCUAUUAGAGGGGAAUAACAGUGAGAAAUCAUUGCUAAUACCGCAUAUGCCAUAGAUAUCACAUGAUAACAGUGGGAAAGGAGCAAUCCGCUAAUAGAUGGCCUUGCGUCUGAUUAGAUAGUUGGUGGGGUAACGGCCUACCAAGUCGACGAUCAGUAGCCGGACUGAGAGGUUGAACGGCCACAUUGGGACUGAGAUACGGCCCAGACUCCUACGGGAGGCAGCAGUCGGGAAUAUUGCGCAAUGGAGGAAACUCUGACGCAGUGACGCCGCGUAUAGGAAGAAGGUUUUCGGAUUGUAAACUAUUGUCGUUAGGGAAGAGAAAGGACAGUACCUAAGGAGGAAGCUCCGGCUAGCUACGUG
rnacentral:rRNA from 1 species